AUGCAACCUCCACCCUGGUGAUCCCUCCUCCUGUGUCCUACGGCUUGUCAGGCUAAUGGGCUCAAAACUGACCAGGUCUUCCCCACAAACCUGGUCCUCAUGUUGACAGGUGGCUGCUUCAUCCUCACAGUUGCCCAGACCAGAGCCUCAGAGCCGUCCUGGACUCCUGCCCAAUGUCCACCUGGCCCUGCUAUCCCCUCUCCCCCACACCUGACAUCCAGUCAGUGGUCAGACUCCACAGCUGGGCCCUGCCCACAUGGCCCAAGUCCACCCUGGCCUGGCAAGCCGCAAUGGCACCCAGGAGAUGAUGCCCUACACCUGAGUGAGCCUUCCCAGGAGUCAGCCAGUCACCUGUGUGCCUGGCUGUGGCCUGCUGCUCUGCCCUCGCCAUGCACCUGCUCCAUGAUGCAAGCUCAUGCAGCGCCUCACGAGGGAGAUGGCAGCCAGUACUUGCUACGUAGAUAGAUGAGCCAGACGUGUGGCUGUCUGCCAGGCUGCUCUAACAGCCUGACCCAUGGACUGGGUCACUAAGAAACAGAAAUUUCCCACAGGACAGUAGACCUGUGUUUCAUCCAGUUCAACCUGUGGCUGGAAUUGCCCCAAAAGUGGUGGCAGUAGAGUUCCCACAAGGGAGUGCCCCACACCAUCCUGAGAUGGGGCUGGUUAGGAUUCUACAGAUUGAGCAUGCCAGGGUGAUUCGCCCAGAGCAUUUAUUCGUGGGGCUUUUGUACAGAGUGGGCUGCAGCAGUUCUUGCAAUAGGCAGUGAGAGAAAUGAAUGUUCUCUCUAGGUAUGUCCGUGGGGAGGGGGUUGGUGAAUGGAAUUUAUAUGAGGGUUUAAGGAAUCUGGCUCAGGCUGGGUCCAGUUUCUUUCUGUGUUUUGGGCAACAACCUAGAUACUGUCAUCUGCGCCUGGGAACAUUCAUGGCUAUGGCUCGGGUUCAAGUCUGCAGAGGAAAUUAUACCGUUGGCGAGGUCACAGAGUGGCCAAGGGACUCUGUUUCUCAGUCAGCACUGGAAUGAAAGUGGAAAGGGGAAGCAGGGGGACGUCACAAUCUCCAAAAUCAGGGUGCCCAGCACGCUGAGGUUCUGGUAAGGGGUCUCUUCCAGACUGCAGACUUCCUUCCCGCUGCCUUCACACAGUGGAAAGCUGCACAAAGCUCUUGGGGUCCCUUUUAUGAAGGCUCUGUGCUCAUGACCUAGUCACCUCCGAAGCACCAACGCCUUGGGGUGAGGAUUUCACAUGGGAGUUAGGGUGCACAUUCAGUUUAACACGGCAGGGAUGGGACCAGUGCUCUGAAGGUGUCUGGGUAGCUGCUGGUUCAUCCAAAAGUUUACUGGGUAAUACUCAGAAAUUCCAGAAAUCAUUAAGGUCAUUACCUUGUUAAGCUCCCGAUAUGGAAUCGCGACUAGCAGUGACCAAUUGGCAGUGUUAACUAGGCGCAUCUUGUGUGUUUUCUUUUUUCUUUUUUUAUGGGACAGGGUCUCGCUCACUCGUUCAGGUUGGAGUGCAGUGGCGCGAUGUCCUGGGCUCGAGAUCCUCUCGCCUCAGCCUCAAAGCCUUGGGGCUACAGGCGCGCGCGCGCGCCCGGCCCAUUUUAACUUCUUCUUAUUAUUAUUUUUGAGACAGUCUCGCUCUGUCGCCCAGGCUGGAGUGCAGUGGCGCGAUCUCGGCCCACUGCAACCUCUGCCUCCUGGCUCAAGUGAUUCUCCUGCUUCAGCCUCCUGAGUAGCUGGGAUUACAGGUGUGCACCACCACACCCGGCUAAUUUUUGUAUUUUAGUAGAGACGGGGUUUCACCAUGUUGGACAGGCUAGUCUCGAACUCCCGACCUCAAGCGAUCCGCCCGCCUCAGCCUCCCAAAUUGCUGGGAUUACAGGCGAGAGCCAGUCCGCCCGGCCCCGUUUUAACCAUUUUUAAACUUCCAGUUCAGAGGCGUUCCCGCGCCUGGCAGGGUAGGCGCAGUGCGCAGGCGCCCAAAGCCGACGUGAAGGUGAUGCGCGGGAGCACAGAUCCGGGGCAGUGCGCUGCGCAGACGCGCGCGGCGAAGCCGAGUGGGCGCGGGAGUGACGUCACGGCGCGCGACGCGGGGGCGGGGUCGGGCCUGGGUCAGACUGUGGUGGGUAGCGGGUCCCGGGUUGCGGGUUGCAAGUUGCAAGCCGCAAGCCGCAGGCCCCAGGCAACUGCCUUCCCGGCGCCAUGUUCGGCUCCAGUCGCGGAGGCGUGCGCGGCGGGCAGGACCAGUUCAACUGGGAGGACGUGAAGACUGACAAGCAGCGGGAGAACUACCUGGGUGGGUGCGCGCGGUGGGCGGGCUCCGGGCUCCGGGAUCCCGGGCGGGCGCUGGACUUACAGCGUCUACGUCCGCAGGCAACUCGCUGAUGGCGCCCGUAGGCCGCUGGCAGAAGGGCCGCGACCUCACCUGGUACGCCAAGGGCCGGGCGCCGUGCGCGGGCCCGAGCCGCGAGGAGGAACUGGCAGCCGUGCGGGAGGCGGAGCGCGAGGCGCUGCUGGCCGCCCUUGGCUACAAGAACGUGAAGAAGCAACCCACGGGCCUGAGCAAGGAGGACUUCGCGGAGGUCUGCAAGCGGGAAGGAGGCGACCCCGAGGAGAAGGGCGUGGACCGGCUGCUGGGGCUGGGGAGCGCCAGUGGCUCCGUGGGCCGCGUGGCGAUGUCCCGAGAGGAUAAGGAGGCCGCCAAACUGGGGCUGUCUGUGUUCACGCAUCACCGCGUAGAGAGCGGCGGGCCCGGGACCUCGGCAGCCUCGGCCAGGAGGAAGCCGCGGGCGGAGGAUCAGAGGGAAAGCAGGGGAGUUUCUCGGGGCACCCUUGAAGAGAGGUCCUAAGUACUGGCAUGGUCGGGGGCAGUGCCGUGGGAGGGCACACAGGACCUGGGGCGGGGCCUUUUCCUGCCGUGGGUGACACUUCCAGGGCUUCUCCCGGGUGGUGAGCCUGGGCCUGACCCCAAGAGUGGCCUGGUGGGUGCGGUUGUGAGAGCCACAGGAAAAGCAAGAAGGAGAAGAAGAAAAAGAAAAAGAGAAAACACAAGAAACAGAAGAAGAAGAAAGACAAAGAACACAGGCGGCCAGCUGAGGCCACCUCCUCUCCCACAUCUCCUGAGAGGUAUGCCCUGGUCCAUGUCUGCCUCUUGGGGGUGGGGGCCUGGUUGACUCCUUCCGAGUGACUGCCAUUGGUCUCCCCAGGCCCAGGUACCACCACGACUCCGACUCCAACUCCCCCUGCUGUAAGAGGAGGAAGCGGGGACACAGUGGGGACAGGAGGAGCCCGUCGCGCAGGUGGCAUGACAGAGGCUCUGAGGCCUGAUGGCUGGACCCUGCUCACUGCUAUUGUGGGACCCUGAACCCUCUCUUCACCUUGCUUGCCUCCUGCCUCGGAAGCUCCUCGGGUGUGGGUGAAGCCCGAGGCUGCUCCUGUGGAAGUGGCUCUGGGCACCAGCCUGUGGGGCUAAAGACUUGACAGCUAGCUCUGGAGCAGCCAGCUUCCUGGAAAACCUCCAGGUUUCGCAUAGCAGGGGAUGGCCCCUGGCUUGCCUUGCGAAGGUGAACCUGCCCAGACGUACCAGUAGAGGCUGGACUCCCUCUGUCCUGCCCAUGGCUGCAGCAGCCAUGGGCCUAUGAGCGGUCUAACUGUGGCCAAGUAUGGUGACCUCUAUUUUUCUUUAUAUUGACUCUUUGUAUUUCAAUAAACAUAUUUUAAAAGG
rnacentral:sRNA from 1 species